CUUUCUUUUGCUCAACACAAAAGGAGAUAUUAGGCAGUUUGUUAAGCCCUGACAGCCUCCGCCACCAUUCACUUUAUUACAUUUUUUGUGUGUAAGUGAAUGAGACUAAAGAAAUUCAUUCUGAUUUAAAACAAGAGGGAUUCCUUUUGGCAGUGUUAGGCCUUUUCGACAGUAUUUUCAAUCCCCACAGCGUCUGUCUGGCCGUUUGCAUGUGCUACUGAAGUGCAAUUGCAGAAAGAAGAUCAUUUGUGCAAAAAUCAACCUAAGAAAUGGUCAAAAUCACAUGCGGUGCGCCGGAGCUGCUCAGCCGUUGUCAUGGAUAACAUGGUGGGCACCCUGUCUCGGUCAGUGGGAUGUCCUGCAGAUUGAGCCAGGCGCCCUGUGGAGCCACGGAGCGGCCUUUAAAAUUGACCCCCCGCAGAGGACCGGGGCCCCUCUUGUCUCGUCUGAGCGCACGCCUGGAGACCGCUUUUAAAUGUGCUUCUGGUGUCCCAGAGAGAGAGGCCGCUGGCACGAAGGGGCGAAAGCUCACCGCAGUGGUCCCUUUUUCUUGGAUAAAUUCAAAGGAGGAAAAUAGCCCACAUUACAAGCUCCUUAAGGGUCAAGGACAGCCGAGACAUGAAUGGUUUGAAAGAGUGGCAUUGUGAAAUCACAUAGCACACGAUUACACCCUCUGUCAUCUUUUUACGGAUUUGCAUUUUUCUUGCACCACAAUGAACAGUUCAGAAUAAGACUUACAAGACAUGUGGAUGAAAUUAAUUAAGACGCUGGAGAAAAAGAGGUGUGAACGACAAAAGCGGUGGUCCUGUUUGGAAUAAACGCCGUUGCUAUUUUAGGAUGAUUUUAAUGAGUGGCAAAACAUUUUUAUUAGUAUUAUAGUCUUUUCUUUUUUUUUUUUGGAUCCAAUUUGAAAAAUAUUGGACAUUCAAAAAAGGAACAAAAUCCUACGUCGGACGCAAAAUAAGUAAUGAAGGCAUUUGCAACACUUCAUUUCACUGCUAACUGAACUCAAAUGGUCUCACUUUUGGCUAGUAUUUCCCUCCACGCAGCAGGGAUGGCAGUAGAUUGAUGCCCUUACAUUAUUCAUGCAACAAUUAUUCAAAAUUUAGCAAUAACUCAACAGCGUUUUGUCCUUUCUCUCAUCCGUCUCCUCUCUCAGCGUACCUAGGUAUGCUGCUAUUCUUAUGCGACCAUCAUCCAUUGGACAGUGCGGCCCCAGAAAGCACCCUUAAACACUCCCCCAUUGUACUGUCACAAGCCUGGAGAGUUCAUGUUAUAUUUAUGUUGCCUACAGCGUAUUCUCUCUGUUCUGUUCUGUUCAGCUGAACUCACGCCAACUCCUCCAGGUCCCCCCUCCACAGACAAUGUUACAUCUCAUUGGCUUUGCCCUAGAUAGGCUAUUUUUGUAUGAAAUAAUUAGACAUAACUGAUUUAAAUACUGCAAAGCCAACACUCUUUUGUCUCGUUAACAAAGUACAGGAAAGGCA